GGACUCGCAGGAUACCCGCCUUUAAAGUAGAGAGAAUAGUGGCUGUGCUGUAAGUUUCAAAAUCUAUAUCACAGUGGCUGUUCUUUUUGCACCUAAAGUGCCAAACAGCCAAACCCGA
rnacentral:precursor_RNA from 15 species